UACGAAGGGGGCUAGCGUUGCUCGGAAUUACUGGGCGUAAAGGGCGCGUAGGCGGAUAGUUUAGUCAGAGGUGAAAGCCCAGGGCUCAACCUUGGAAUUGCCUUUGAUACUGGCUAUCUUGAGUUCGGGAGAGGUGAGUGGAAUGCCGAGUGUAGAGGUGAAAUUCGUAGAUAUUCGGCGGAACACCAGUGGCGAAGGCGACUCGCUGGCCCGAUACUGACGCUGAGGCGCGAAAGCGUGGGGAGCAAACAGG
rnacentral:rRNA from 1 species